GACGAACGCUGGCGGCGUGCUUAACACAUGCAAGUCGAACGGAAAGGCCCUGCUUUUGUGGGGUGCUCGAGUGGCUAACGGGUGAGUAACACGUGAGUAACCUGCCCUUUACUUUGGGAUAACUUCAGGAAACUGGGGCUAAUACCGGAUAGGAGCUCCUGCUGCAUGGUGGGGGUUGGAAAGUUUCGGCGGUUGGGGAUGGACUCGCGGCUUAUCAGCUUGUUGGUGGGGUAGUGGCUUACCAAGGCUUUGACGGGUAGCCGGCCUGAGAGGGUGACCGGCCACAUUGGGACUGAGAUACGGCCCAGACUCCUACGGGAGGCAGCAGUGGGGAAUAUUGCACAAUGGGCGGAAGCCUGAUGCAGCAACGCCGCGUGCGGGAUGACGGCCUUCGGGUUGUAAACCGCUUUCGCCUGUGACGAAGCGUGAGUGACGGUAAUGGGUAAAGAAGCACCGGCUAACUACGUG
rnacentral:rRNA from 1 species